UGAUUUACAAAUGCGGUUAUUUAAAUAACCGCAUUUGUAAAUGGUUUUUACCCUAAAAAUUUUAGGCGCUCAACAGUUUCGUUCAUUCUUCGUUUGCGCUUACAUCUGUUCUUUGUUUUCUCUGGUUGCGAAGUUCUUCAUUUUCGAAGGUACGUAACUGCAUUGCCCCUUAUUCUCUUGUUUCCAUUGCUCCUAACAACUGCAUUGAACUCCAAUGGCUUUCGCUUUCCAUAUUGCUUUCGUUUUUAAUGGGUUUCGCUCUGCAUUUUGAAGGUGUACUCUUCCAUUGCUUCCGCCGCUGUCGCAUUUCGCUCUCGCCGCUCCGCCACCGCUUCCGCCGCCGCACUCACCGCAGCUGCCGUGUUUCCUCUUCUCCCCUUCCACUCUUCACCAACAACGUGCCCUUAAAACCCCAGCUCAUUCAGAAGAAUAUACAAAUGCGAGCUCAUUCAAAAGAAUAUACAAA
rnacentral:lncRNA from 1 species